rnacentral:rRNA from 1 species
GAUGAACGCUAGCGGGAGGCCUAACACAUGCAAGCCGAGCGGUAUUGUUUCUUCGGAAAUGAGAGAGCGGCGUACGGGUGCGUAACACGUGUGCAAACUGCCUUUAUCUGGGGGAUAGCCUUUCGAAAGGAAGAUUAAUACUCCAUAAUAUAUUGAACGGCAUCGUUUAAUAUUGAAAGCUCCGGCGGAUAGAGAUGGGCACGCGCAAGAUUAGCUAGUUGGUGAGGUAACGGCGCACCAAGGCGAUGAUCUUUAGGGGGCAUGAGAGGGUGAUCCCCCACACUGGGACUGAGACACGGACCAGGCUCCGACGGGAGGCAGCAGUGAGGAAUAUUGGUCAAUGGGUGCAAGCCUGAACCAGCCAUCCCGCGUGAAGGACGACUGCCCUAUGGGUUGUAAACUUCUUUUGUAUAGGGAUAAACCUACCCUCGUGAGGGUAGCUGAAGGUACUAUACGAAUAAGCACCGGCUAACUCCGUGCCAGCAGCCGCCGUAA